rnacentral:rRNA from 1 species
GAUGAACGCUAGCUACAGGCUUAACACAUGCAAGUCGAGGGGCAGCAUCAUCAAAGCUUGCUUUGAUGGAUGGCGACCGGCGCACGGGUGAGUAACACGUAUCCAACCUGCCGACAACACUGGGAUAGCCUUUCGAAAGAAAGAUUAAUACCGGAUGGUAUAGUUUCCCGCAUGGGAUGAUUAUUAAAGAAUUUCGGUUGUCGAUGGGGAUGCGUUCCAUUAGGCAGUUGGCGGGGUAACGGCCCACCAAACCUACGAUGGAUAGGGGUUCUGAGAGGAAGGUCCCCCACAUUGGAACUGAGACACGGUCCAAACUCCUACGGGAGGCAGCAGUGAGGAAUAUUGGUCAAUGGACGAGAGUCUGAACCAGCCAAGCAGCGUGAAGGAUGACUGCCCUAUGGGUUGUAAACUUCUUUUAUACGGGAAUAAAGUGAGCCACGUGUGGUUUUUUGUAUGUACCGUAUGAAUA